UCCAAAACCAUUCCUCAUCAUCAUAUGAUCCGCCAUUGGAGGACGAUCCUCCGCUUCAACAUCUUUCCCCAUCCGAUUGCAAGAGGCCGCGCACCGAUUGGACCGAAUUCCUCGAUCCCGAUCACGAAAUCUGUGAGGACAUUGAACAAGGAGGAGUCGAACCAGGUGAGGAAAACUUUUUUUUUUUUUUGGGUGAAAAAUUAGGUUUUUGAAAAUUGGGGGAAAUUGAAAGAGGAAAAAAGGAAUUUCUAAUUGGUAUAGAGAAUUGAGCCGAAUGUGGUUUUGAGCCGGAGAUUGUGACGGAGUUGCCAGAGGGAUUGUACCAGAAAGCGAAGCUGAACAGGAGUGCUGAUGGUGAUGAACUUUACAAACCUGUUUUCUCCAAGAGAAAUUCCAACAAACGAGUGCUUUUUCAAGAGCGUAACAUGACUGUGGAAAUGAAAAUCAAGAAGUCACAGAGAAUGCUAGAACUGAAAGGCGAAAGCUAGUUCUGAUUUCUGGGACUUGAAUUAUCUUUUCAGAAGAUUUUGAAAGUUUGACUUGACAACUGCCAAGGAGAAUUCAAAAUGGGGUCAUUACAAGACUAGAUUAGGAUGCCCAGGAGUCAAGAAAAUGUCAGUUCAGAAGGGGAAGAGAGGCUUCCAAAUGGAGUGCCUACAUAACCCAGGACGACGAAGACUACGACAAGGACGCCAACUACCAAGGGGGUGAUUCGAGCAAUAAUAUCUUCCGGCCUUUAACCAACGACGAAAAGAUAGAAGAUGAGAUCCACCCUGAUUUUCUUUGAACCUCUCGCAGUUAGCUCUUUCAAUUCUUCUGCCCUUGUUUAAAUCAACUAGAACAUAGAGGUUUCCUGAAUUCCACAGUGAUAUGGCAAAAGCGGCAUAGUAGCUGAAUAGAUUUGUUCAUGGUCAAUUGGUCCAUGACAACACUAGCAAUUUUUUAGUUUUAAUUCAAAAUAUUUUGCUUUAAUUUAAAACCGUAUUCUCGGAAAAAAAACAGAACUGGAAUUUGCCGUUGCAGUGCUUGCUUUGGAAUU